CGUGUAGGCGGACUCGCAAGUCGGUUGUGAAAUCCCUGGGCUUAACCUAGGAACUGCAUCCGAAACUGCUUGUCUUGAGUAAUGGAGAGGGUGGCGGAAUUCCCGGUGUAGAGGUGAAAUUCGUAGAUAUCGGGAGGAACAUCAGUGGCGAAGGCGGCCACCUGGACAUUUACUGACGCUGAGACGCGAAAGCGUGGGGAGCAAACAGGAUUAGAUACCCUGGUAGUCC
rnacentral:rRNA from 1 species